CCCUUGUCCGCGCGCCUGGUCUGCAGACUGGAACCCGAGGUCGUCGCCGUGGAGCAGAGUGAUUCCUAUUGGCUGAUUGAGGCAGGGUCCAUUGUGGAUGUCACAAUGCGGAAGUUGGACAAUGAGCUCCAGACUAAAACUUCCUCCUCUGGGCAACAUCUGAUAUUGGAAGGGGAAGAUUUGCGGACAGAAAUCUCAAACCAAGCAUCACAUCAAGAUCUGACCGAGUCGGUCAAUUCUUCGGGAGCUGAAUAUCAAUGGCCUUUAAAACUAGAAGGAGAAAUGUUUGCCUGUUCUGUCUGCUUCAGAAAAUUUAAAAUCAGUGUUAUUGGAAAAGCACUGAGACACACACACCCGAAUGAGAGUGUUCCAGUGUACUGACUUUGGAAGGAGCUUUAACCAGUUACGCAGCCUUAAAAAGCAUCCCCAUUUACUGCAGCAGGAGCGGCUGUACACAUGCUCUGUGUGUGGACGCUCAGUUGAUCAUGAAUCUGAAGAGACCCAAGGACACCUGCUGCAUGGAUAAACAGUGAACAUUUGGAGACUGUAGGAAGGGAUUGAUAUCCCCAUCAAAGCUGGAAAUUCAUUAACACAGUCACACUGGGGAGUGGCCAUUCACCUGCCCUGUGUAUGGGAAGGGAUUUACUCAGUCAUCCCACUUGCAGACACACCAGCGAGUUCACACCAGGGAGAGACCGUUCACUUGCUCCGAGUGCGGGAAGGGAUUCACUCGGUCAUCCCACCUGCUGAGACACCAGCGAGUUAACACCGGGGAGAGUCUGUUCACCAGCUCCAUGUGUGGGAAAUGGUUCACUGAUUCAUCCAGUCUGCUGAGGCACCAUAUCACUCACACCAAUGAGAGACCCUUUAAAUGCCCUGACAGUGGGAGUGGCUUCAAAAGUUCUCAGGAACUGAUGUUUCACCAGCGCAUUCACACUGAGGAGAGACCAUUCAGCUGCCCUCACUGCACAAAGAGAUUUCGAAGGUCAUCCAACCUGUGGGAACACCAGUGAGUCCACACCAGUGAGAGGCCAUUCACCUGCUCUGCGUUUGGGAAAGGAUUCAUUCAGUUGUCCAAAUUGCAGAUGCAUGAGCGAGUUCACAUUGGGGAGAGGCCGUUCACCUGCUCUGAUUGUGGGAAGGGAUUCAAGGAUUCAUCCACCCUGCUGAGACACCAGCCCAAUUCUGACGUGAGGUAAUGGUCACUUUGGGGAUAAAAGUAGAGGUUCUGAAGGUCUUCCUUGCUAGCCAAGUACUGAAACUCCCGAAGCCAAGUUCCAAGGAAAUUACUGUCAAAGAAGGAGACAGACUCCCGAGGGCGAGUUCCACAAGAAUUACUGUCAAAAAAGGAGCCAGAGCGGGUUACGCUUCUACAGACUGAUCGCCUGCAUGAAGUUGUAAAAAUCAAUGUCUUAAAGUUAAGUAAACCUUUUUCUUUUAAUAAACUUCUUUUUUAAAUUUA